rnacentral:misc_RNA from 1 species
UUUUUGACUUGCUUUGCAUGGCAGGCUCCCUGCACUUACGUGCGGCCAACUGUCAUGGGGCGGUCUGUUCAUUAUCCCUUUGAUUGGUAUGUAUUGCUGUCUUGGGAUGCUUGCUGCCGGUUGCCUGUGUGGUUCUACCAUUUGAGGUAGUACAAUUGCCCCGCUUUUGUAUGCUUAGCUUGCUUAGUUGAUGUUGUUCAUGARKSKKCGCAUGAGUUGUUAGCAAAUUUCUUGUGUUUCCAUGCUUUGUGCCUUGGAGUUGCAUUUGGAUUUUUGCUGCUUCUCACGGAUAUGGUGCCUGUUGGGAGGUCUGUGGGCUUCGAGCUUUGUAGACCUUGUGAGGUUGCCUAUGCACAGAUUUUAGCCUGCUGAUGUGUCUCAGUCAUGUCGUGUUUUUUCCGUCAUGCUUUGAGGCCUCUUGUUUAGGCUUUGAUUAAGUGCAUGUGGCGUGC